rnacentral:misc_RNA from 1 species
UUUUUAGUCAUUUAGCAGCAGUAUGUUGGAAUAGUCACAGACCCUUGAUUUCUCCUUUAGUUGUUGUGGAAGUGAACUAUGUAUCUGGCCAUCGUGGCUUUGACUUACAGAACUAGUAUAAGUCAUGUCAGAGUUUAAACUUGUCCUUUCAGUUGCAUGGCCCAUAAGAUGUUCUUGUUUCAAAACCGUCUGCAAGUUUUCAUGUGUUUAUAUUCAUCAACUAGUAGUUG